rnacentral:rRNA from 1 species
AAGCCCCAGUAAACGGCGGCCGUAACUAUAACGGUCCUAAGGUAGCGAAAUUCCUUGUCAGGUAAGUUCUGACCCGCACGAAAGGCGUAACGAUUUGGGCGCUGUCUCAGCUGUAGACUCGGUGAAGUCUUAGUACCUGUGAAGAUGCAGGUUACCCGCGACUAGACGGAAAGACCCCAUGGAGCUUUACUGUAGCUUGAUAUUGGACUUUGAUGCAAGAUGUACAGGAUAGGUAGGAGACUGAGAGACAUGCACGCCAGUGUGUGAGGAGUCAAUGUUGGGAUACUACUCUUCUUGUAUUGGAGUUCUAACCGGAUGCCAUGGAACUGGCAACGGGACAGUGUCAGGUGGGCAGUUUGACUGGGGCGGUCGCCUCCCAAAGAGUAACGGAGGCGCCCAAAGAUACCCUCAGCUUGGAUGGAAAUCAAGCGCAGAGUGCAAAGGCAUAAGGGUGUUUGACUGCGAGACCUACAAGUCGAGCAGGGACGAAAGUCGGGCUUAGUGAUCCGGCGGUGCUGAAUGGAAAGGCCGUCGCUCAACGGAUAAAAGCUACCCUGGGGAUAACAGGCUGAUCUCCCCCAAGAGUUCACAUCGACGGGGAGGUUUGGCACCUCGAUGUCGGCUCAUCGCAUCCUGGAGCUGAAGUCGGUUCCAAGGGUUGGGCUGUUCGCCCAUUAAAGCGGUACGCGAGCUGGGUUCAGAACGUCGUGAGACAGUUCGGUCCCUAUCUGUCGUGGGCGUAGGAAGUUUGAGAAGAUCUGUCCUCAGUACGAGAGGACCGGGAUGGACAUAUCAAUGGUGCACCAGUUGUCACGCCAGUGGCACAGCUGGGUAGCUAAAUAUGGAAGGGAUAAACGCUGAAGGCAUCUAAGUGUGAAACCCACUUCAAGAUGAGACUUCCCAUUACGCAAGUAAGUAAGACCCCUUAAAGACGAUAAGGUUGAUAGGUCAGGAGUGUAAGCAUGGCGACAUGUUCAGCGGACUGAUACUAAUAGGUCGAGGACUUAACCUA